rnacentral:rRNA from 1 species
UCCAAAUCAUGAUCGAUUCCCUUUUCAAAACCUUCUGCAGCAGCUCGGGCUCUUCCUGCAUGCCAUAAAUGGCCCACAAAAAAGAAGAAUCAUGUUAAUGAAAAAUAG